UGGGACUGAGACACGGCCCAGACUCCUACGGGAGGCAGCAGUGGGGAAUAUUGCACAAUGGGCGAAAGCCUGAUGCAGCGACGCCGCGUGAGGGAUGACGGCCUUCGGGUUGUAAACCUCUUUCAGCAGGGAAGAAGCGAAAGUGACGGUACCUGCAGAAGAAGCGCCGGCUAACUACGUGCCAGCAGCCGCGGUAAUACGUAGGGCGCAAGCGUUGUCCGGAAUUAUUGGGCGUAAAGAGCUCGUAGGCGGCUUGUCACGUCGGAUGUGAAAGCCCGGGGCUUAACCCCGGGUCUGCAUUCGAUACGGGCAGGCUAGAGUGUGGUAGGGGAGAUCGGAAUUCCUGGUGUAGCGGUGAAAUGCGCAGAUAUCAGGAGGAACACCGGUGGYGAAGGYGGAUCUCUGGGCCAUUACUGACGCUGAGGAGCGAAAGCGUGGGGAGCGAACAGGAUUAGAUACCCUGGUAGUCCACGCCGUAAACGUUGGGAACUAGGUGUUGGCGACAUUCCACGUCGUCGGUGCCGCAGCUAACGCAUUAMGUUCCCCGCCUGGGGAGU
rnacentral:rRNA from 1 species